rnacentral:rRNA from 1 species
CCUACGGGAGGCAGCAGUGAGGAAUAUUGGUCAAUGGUCGGGAGACUGAACCAGCCAAGCCGCGUGAGGGAUGAAGGUACAGAGUAUCGUAAACCUCUUUUGUCAGGGAACAAAGGCGGGGACGUGUCCCCGGAUGAGUGUACCUGAAGAUAAAGCAUCGGCUAACUCCGUGCCAGCAGCCGCGGUAAUACGGAGGAUGCGAGCGUUAUCCGGAUUUAUGGGGUUAAAAGGGUGCGGAGGCGGUCUGUUAAGUCAGCGGUCAAAGCCCGGGGCUCAACCCCGGCCCGCCGUUGAAACUGGCAGUCUCGAGUUGGAGAGAAGUAUGCGGAAUGCGCGGUGUAGCGGUGAAAUGCAUAGAUAUCGCGCAGAACUCCGAUUGCGAAGGCAGCAUGCCGGCUCCACACUGACGCUGAGGCACGAAAGCGUGGGUAUCGAACAGGAUUAGAUACCCGUGUAGUC